ACAAUAAGAACUUUAAAUUAUGCCACGAAAUGUUGCAUGAUUUGUCAUUUCGAUGCUCCCACCCACUUUGAUUCCCUUGCUCUGCUCUGUUUCACUCUCUGCUGUGUGACACACUUUGUAACAAUAGUGGUAGUACCCCCAUUGGCUAGGGUAUAAUCGCUCGCAUUUGUAUGAAGUUCCGGCAUUUGCUUCCAACUUCAGUUUAUAUCACAACGCGCCCUUUUUUGGGUUCAAUGCACUUGCCACACUAAGCUACAACGUGGCAAAACGUUACACACACACACACACAGGGGCAGAGGCACACUCAGAGCUCUGGCCUGAUGUAUUUUUAGGUACAUUUCGGUUGCGUCUAAACGAAAUGCCGGCUAAUUUAAUUUUCUUUAUCAACGUGUCGCCUCCCUGAGUGGUCCACGCUGUGGCAUUGGUCAUGCUUUUCUUUCUAUUCAUUUUCUUUACUCUUUGUUUCUUUUUUAUAAAGUUCUGCUCUUGAUAAUGCCAAAUGCCGGUGACUAAGAGCUGCUGCCGCUGCUGCCACUCGAACAUCAUCAACUGCGUCGGCAGCGAACCGUUGACAAACCGCAGCAGCAGCAGCAGCAGCAGCGUUAGUCGCUGCCACAGUCCAAGUUCAUUGUUCGUUCGCUCCAGUCUCGCACGGAUUGCGCUGCUAUCGCCGCAUUUUGCUUGUAUUUGUUGCACUUUAUUGUAUUUGUUGUCUUUACGUCUUCUUCUUGCUUCAUUCCAAUUUGUAUUUUUGCCUCCGAUUGUGUCUUGGCGGGCAGGCGCGCGCGUUUGCAUGUCGCUUGCAUUUUACGCUCUCGUAAGUUUUCUGGAGCUUACAAGCACUUCAAACUAUAAGGAAUACAAGAGUGCUGCUCUUCAAUUAGAUUAAAUAGUGCGUUUCACUGGAAGUGUGAGG